CUUGUUUUUAUAGCUUUAGAUGGCGUGGAAACAAGAAUAUAGCCGUUAGAGACAAAAAUAGAGCCGUUGGAACCAGUCUGCACCUCCUGACAAUAUGACAAUUGGUAUCAGAGCCAUAGGUCUCGAGUUCGAAACCCAGGCAUCACGUUGGGGGGGGGGAUUGUUGGCGGAGGCCUGAGGGGCCGAGUCAACGUUGGCGGAGGCCUGAAGGGCCGAGUCAGUCCUGCCGCCUGCCAACGUGGAUGCGCUGGAGGAGUAGGGUGGGUUAUACCACUAGGGGGUCCCUGAACCCACUGGCGAGGCCCUGUCGGAGUCCGGAGUUGGGCAAGGCUUGGUCGGAGUCGACUCGUGGCGCUAUGGGCCCCUGCGCUAGUUUAAG
rnacentral:lncRNA from 1 species